rnacentral:rRNA from 1 species
UGAGUAUCACGUAUGCAACCUGCCUGCCACAGCCGGAUAAUCGGGAGAAAUUCCGUCUAAUACGGCAUAAUGCAUCGACGGGACAUCCUGUUGGUGCCAAAGGUUAAUUCCGGUGGCGGAUGGGCAUGCGUCGCAUUAGUUAGUUGGCGGUGUAACGGACCACCAAGACGACGAUGCGUAGGGGUUCUGAGAGGAAGGUCCCCCACACUGGUACUGAGACACGGACCAGACUCCUACGGAAGGCAGCAG